rnacentral:rRNA from 1 species
ACAGCAGCCGCCACGGUAAUACGGAGGGUGCAAGCGUUAUCCGGAUUUAUUGGGUUUAAAGGGUCCGUAGGCGGAUCUGUAAGUCAGUGGUGAAAUCUCACAGCUUAACUGUGAAACUGCCAUUGAUACUGCAGGUCUUGAGUAAAUUUGAAGUGGCUGGAAUAAGUAGUGUAGCGGUGAAAUGCAUAGAUAUUACUUAGAACACCAAUUGCGAAGGCAGGUCACUAAGAUUUAACUGACGCUGAUGGACGAAAGCGUGGGGAGCGAACAGGAUUAGAUACCCGCGUAGUCCCUGUCUCUUAUAA